ACACACACACACACACACACAACUAGGAGGACCCUGUCUUUAGACAGGUGUUAAACAAUUUCCUAAAGAGAUCUUUGUGUCUUCACAUUUUCAUUUAGACCUGACUAAAUGUACUUCCUCUUCCAACUCAACACACAUACACUGUCUGUACAUCCAGUUUCUGUCAAAUGUAUUGGACUAAACUUUGAAUGUGAAAGUAGUAAUAAUACUCUGUUCUUCUAUUUUUGUUGGUAGAAGAAUGGUAUUUUCUAUUGCCCUGACCACAGGAAGGUCACAGGGUAGGGUCAACUAUAGAGCUCAGCAUAGAAAGACAGGCAUGGAUGCAAGCCUGCAUGGAAAGAAAGAAGGAAGAAUUAAUGUUUGAAUGAAUCUACACACCAGUAGUUACAUGAACCAUAUCAGAAAAGCACAACAUAUUUAUCGUAACAAGCAGCUGAUUGGCAAUGCCCCUGUGUUGGUGGGAGGUGCAUUAAUUAUAAAACAGCAAGAGUAAAGGGCCAGCUAUUCAAUGGAAUACCUCGGAACAGUAGAAUGUCCAUUAAAAUUUGAUAUUUGUGGAGAGUGACAUGCACUCAGCAUAUCUGGAUAUUCAAUAACAUGUACUCUAUAUUUUGCGUUACUACUAACCAUUUUCAGAAAAUUCAUGUUGAGGCAUGGUGAUGUCAGUGGGACAAUUGAGCUGUCUAACUUCUUGGUUCAGAGCAAUAGUAUCAAUAUUUAUGAUCCUCACAGCAUGAUAGAUGGACUUCUAAUUUUGGUGAUUUUGUUACCUUUGGUGCAACCAUCAGUUCAGAAAUUUUUGCUUGAUCAACACUUUCAAUCAUGACAAGUAUCUAACUAAUGGUCACAUUUCCAUAAAAUUUAUAGUAAAUAUUUUUUCUCUUUUCAAAGCGGUUACAACUUCAGUAAGAGAAUGAAGUGGAACUAUCCUUCUGGUCAUGAAAAGAGAAAAAAAAAACACCACAAGGGUGAAUUGCGGGAACAGUAAUCAGGUAAAGUUGCGUUUUCAGGACUGUGUUCGUCCAACUUUCUUCUGGCCUUAUUUGAAGAAAAGGCAUAAGCUGCAUCUUGACCACAGGAACUUUCCCCAGGAACUAGGAACCUUUGGAGGAACUCUGUUCAUUUCCACCGCAGGGACCAGAGUCUAAAUUAAGUUCCGGGGAAUUUUUUUUUACCCCCCAAAAAGUCCCUGCUCAGGGGGUAGUAAUUUCCAAAAGUACCAGAACCUUUUGGGUGGAGCUUGCAGCACUGAACAUUUCUGAUUGGUGGAGUACUCCAGCAUUUUAUUUCAGCCACCAUUUUUAAAAAUCUGUAACUGCAUAUAUAGUUUUCACUGUGCUUCAACACAUCAACAUGGAGUAACAGAAGAAAGCAUAUGAGAGAUGGACCAAUGACAAAGUCCAUGCCUUAUUAAGUAUUUAUGCUGAAUAUCCAGAGGGAAUUUAAAAUGGCGACCUGCAAUGACAAUGUAUAUGCGAAAUAUCCUCCAAGUUAAGUGAACUGAGCAUUAUCCACAUAAAACAGUGUCGGGAGAAGCUUAAAAAUACUACAACACCACCACAAAAAAAACCCAAAACACAACAACAGAAGUGCUUCUGACCGGCGGACCAGCAAGUGGUUCGACUGGCUUUACAUCUUCCUCGGUCACCAGCUGGCGUUCUAUGGCACAGUGGCAACAAAGGACUCGGCUACUCUAUUGUUGGAAGCCGUGGUGGAAAAGACGGACGACCAAUUGGUUGAAGUGUAUUUCACAUGAAGCUGCAGGCAGGCCCACUGAACUGCAGACAGCAGAGAUGAGCCCUCAUCAAACACAGAGAGGAAAACAUUUCUUUGACGCGCUGAAGGACGUGGACAACGCAAACCAGGCUGCCCAGCAGUGAGCAUAGGAGCAGCAGGACAAGUACACCCAGCUGCUACUGGAGAGCCAGGCCAAGGAAAGACAAAUGAGGAGGCAGGAGCUGGCGUUCCUUCACUCUGAGGCAGAAGAAACCAGAUGUCUCCAUAGAGAACUUCAGCAAGGGUUUCUUUCUGUACUUUCUGUACCAGCUUUCCCAAUUGCUGAGCCAAAAAAGCCCUACUGCCCCACCAUUUCACUCAAGACUCCCCCCUAUAUAUUUUGUUAAUUCAUAGUGGAACCUAUUGUCAAUAAAAAUAGUAACAUGAAACUUUCUUGAUAUCGAGUACCUAAUUAUUUCCAUGGUAAUUUUAGCCAUUCUUUUAGUUCUAAAGUUGCACCUUUU